CUGAACCCCAGUUCCUGGUGAUGCCAAAUAGCCACCCCAGUGCCCCAAAACCCUGACACACCCAGUGCUCCCAUGCCCCAAAAACCCGACACACCCAGUGCCCCCAGUGCCCCCACUGCUCC